rnacentral:rRNA from 1 species
AGAGUUUGAUCCUGGCUCAGAAUCAACGCUGGCGGCGUGCCUAACACAUGCAAGUCGAACGCGAAAGUCCCGCAAGGGAUCAGUAGAGUGGCAAACGGGUGAGUAACACGUGGGUGACCUGCCUUCGAGCGGGGGAUAACGUCCCGAAAGGGACGCUAAUACCGCAUGACAUCCUGCCUUUGAAGAGGUGGAGAUCAAAGCCGGGGACCGCAAGGCCUGGCACUUGAAGAGGGGCCCGCGUCUGAUUAGCUAGUUGGUGGGGUAACGGCUCACCAAGGCAACGAUCAGUAUCCGGCCUGAGAGGGCGGACGGACACACUGGGACUGAGACACGGCCCAGACUCCUACGGGAGGCAGCAGUGGGGAAUUGUUCGCAAUGGGCGCAAGCCUGACGACGCAACGCCGCGUGGAGGACGAAGAUCUUCGGGUCGUAAACUCCUUUCGAUCGAGACGAACGGCUUCCGGGUGAACAAUCCGGGAGAGUGACGGUACCGAGAGAAGAAGCCCCGGCUAACUCCGUGCCAGCAGCCGCGGUA